ensembl:lncRNA
CUGUGAUAUCAUUAAUAUGCCCAGUGCAGUAGAAUCUAAGCAUUGCCAAUAUUAUCAAAGCAACAGUCCAAGGACUGCACUCCUUCAGCAAGAUAUAAAUAAGAUUAAUUUGAUACAAGAAAUUCAAGUUGGGGAAGAAAAAGAUCAUAAUCCAGUAGUAUAAUAGACUGGUGCUGUAGAGUUUGUUUCCUCAUGUUCUACUGUGAGAAGAUGAACAAGAAGGACAGACAAAGUGAAAAUCAAUGUGCUUUGCCAAAUCUUCUACAGAUCACAGGAAAGUAUCCCACAUCUCAAAAAAGAAACGUUAAACUACAUAAACCAUACUGAAGAAAAAUCACCCUUUUGAUGAAUAUGCACAGGCAUAACUAACUUGUGAAUCCCCUGUGCACAGGCAUAACUAAAUAUUAAGUGCCUCUAACAUUCUAUUUCACAACAAAUUGCAAAUUAAAGAAAAAAACAGAUUGAGAGAAAAUAGUGUCAGAAAAUGCAGCUUAUUGGUAAGACUUUGAAUUGUCCCAUAACAUUAUCUUGACAUGGUAAUUGUACAUACUUCCAGCCUUUUCUCUUCAUAAAAAGUAAUGAUCUAUGGAUUUCUUAUUAAAAUUUUCCAUACCCUUAUUGUGUAUUCAACACUGUAAAAGGUAAUCACCUCUUAGUUUUAAAAAACAGUCAUACUUUCAAAUACACAAGGAAUUACUGCUUUUUCCUUCCACUGCCAUGAUUGGCUUCAAAUGCACUCUGGAUGGUACCAAUAGAUGCAGAGAGGAGAAAACUCAAUUUGCAGGACUUUAUAGCCUCAGGGAGACUUGGACUGAGAUGGUUUUAGUGAUUGGAGUUGAAAGUUGUUGGUCAUGAAGGGAUGUGGAUGCCUACCUCUUUAUCAGGCACUCACUAGAAAUUACUCAAUCAUUACAGGCAUUGUUUACAAAAUACUGAUAAACCAAUCACUUCUCUGAUUGGGUAAUGACUUCAUAUCUUUCUAGUACUUUCAACUACAUCAGGAGAAAGCGAAAGGCAGGGAACUUUACUAUCAGUUACAAUGCAGUACCUUCUGAUUUUUUUAUGCAUUGCAGAAAAGCUACAAAUAUUUUCCAAAAAGCUGUUUCCACAAAUAGUUCUCAAUUGCAAAUGUUCAUACUAUCAUCGUUUGUUCAGCACACACACUCACACACACACACACAUAUAUAUACAUAAAUAUGUAUAAAUGUAUUUUUGUGGAACAAGACAUGCAUCUGGACAUGCAUUCUUAGCAUGAAAGAACUGCCUGCCUUCCCCAAAACCUUAGCAUACAAUUACAAAGAUGGAGAAAAGAGCAAACAAACUUUGUGCCAGCACCAGCCUUUAGCAUGGACUAGAGGUGGGAAUGGAUGUGGAAAAGGUAAUGUAUUUUUGUUCACAUCCUUGGAAAUAAGCAAUCUAAUUAACACCAUGUAAAUCCUGGGCCACUAAGAUUGUGGAUCAGGGACAGAAGAGAGAAACAGACUGGUGCUAAUGAUAUACUGCAUGGUGACAUGCGAGUCACAUUUAUUCUGCAAGUGUUGUCUCUAGAGCUUUGACUGAAACAAACCAGAUGAAAAUUUCUCUUUUAAGAAAUGCUUAAAAAUCUACACUGUGAGGAGGGAAACACAGGUGCAGUUCUACAGAGACUCACACAACCUGGAGAGACUCAGUAAAACAAAAAGGGAGUUAAUUUUGGCACUGUAAAAACUGAAGAUUAUAAAAGAGGUUCUCUAGGUGAUGCCAAACACAUCCCACUGACAGUCCUGGAACACUCCUUAGAGAGGGCACCACAGACACGUCCUUACUUCCUUACGCCUUCAUAUAUGUAUAUAUAUUUGUUUUUGUUGUUGUUGUUGUUGUUUUUUUAACUGAGGGUUCAGUCA